rnacentral:rRNA from 1 species
AAAAAGGUAAGCUACUAAGAGCGAAUGGUGGAUGCCUUGACUGGUAAAGGCGAUGAAGGACGUACUAGACUGCGAUAAGCUACGGGGAGCUGUCAAGAAGCUUUGAUCCGUAGAUUUCCGAAUGGGGCAACCCAAUGUAUAGAGAUAUACAUUACCUAUAUAGGAGCGAACGAGGGGAAUUGAAACAUCUUAGUACCCUCAGGAAAAGAAAUCAAUAGAGAUUGCGUCAGUAGCGGCGAGCGAAAGCGUAAGAGGGCAAACCCAGUGCUUGCACUGGGGGUUGUAGGACUGCAAUGUGCAAGAGGUGAGUUUAGCAGAACAUUCUGGAAAGUAUAGCCAUAGAGGGUGAUAGUCCCGUAUGCGAAAAACAAACCUUAGCUAGCAGUAUCCUGAGUAGGGCGGGACACGAGAAAUCCUGUCUGAAGCUGGGUCGACCACGAUCCAACCCUAAAUACUAAUACCAGAUCGAUAGUGCACAAGUACCGUGAGGGAAAGGUGAAAAGAACUGAGGUGAUCAGAGUGAAAUAGAACCUGAAACCAUUUGCUUACAAUCAUUCAGAGCACUAUGUAGCAAUACAGUGUGAUGGACUGCCUUUUGCAUAAUGAGCCUGCGAGUUGUGGUGUCUGGCAAGGUUAAGCAAACGCGAAGCCGUAGCGAAAGCGAGUCUGAAUAGGGCGCUUAGUCAGAUGCUGCAGACCCGAAACGAAGUGAUCUAUCCAUGAGCAAGUUGAAGCUAGUGUAAGAACUAGUGGAGGACUGAACCCAUAGGCGUUGAAAAGCCCCGGGAUGACUUGUGGAUAGGGGUGAAAGGCCAAUCAAACUUCGUGAUAGCUGGUUCUCUCCGAAAUAUAUUUAGGUAUAGCGUUGUGUCGUAAUAUAAGGGGGUAGAGCACUGAAUGGGCUAGGGCAUACACCAAUGUACCAAACCCUAUCAAACUCCGAAUACCUUAUAUGUAAUCACAGCAGUCAGGCGGCGAGUGAUAAAAUCCGUCGUCAAGAGGGAAACAACCCAGACUACCAGCUAAGGUCCCUAAAUCUUACUUAAGUGGAAAACGAUGUGAAGUUACUUAAACAACCAGGAGGUUGGCUUAGAAGCAGCCAUCCUUUAAAGAAAGCGUAAUAGCUCACUGGUCUAGUGAUUUUGCGCGGAAAAUAUAACGGGGCUAAAGUAAGUACCGAAGCUGUAGACUUGAUUUUAUCAAGUGGUAGGAGAGCGUUCUAUUUGCGCCGAAGGUAUACCGGUAAGGAGUGCUGGAGCGAAUAGAAGUGAGCAUGCAGGCAUGAGUAGCGAUAAUUAAUGUGAGAAUCAUUAACGCCGUAAACCCAAGGUUUCCUACGCGAUGCUCGUCAUCGUAGGGUUAGUCGGGUCCUAAGUCGAGUCCGAAAGGGGUAGACGAUGGCAAAUUGGUUAAUAUUCCAAUACCAACAUUAGUGUGCGAUGGAAGGACGCUUAGGGCUAAGGGGGCUAGCGGAUGGAAGUGCUAGUCUAAGGUCGUAGGAGGUUAUACAGGCAAAUCCGUAUAACAAUACUCCGAGAACUGAAAGGCUUUUUGAAGUCUUCGGAUGGAUAGAAGAACCCCUGAUGCCGUCGAGCCAAGAAAAGUUUCUAAGUUUAGCUAAUGUUGCCCGUACCGUAAACCGACACAGGUGGGUGGGAUGAGUAUUCUAAGGCGCGUGGAAGAACUCUCUUUAAGGAACUCUGCAAAAUAGCACCGUAUCUUCGGUAUAAGGUGUGGUUAGCUUUGUAUUAGGAUUUACUCCGAAAGCGAAGAAACUUACAACAAAGAGUCCCUCCCGACUGUUUACCAAAAACACAGCACUCUGCUAACUCGUAAGAGGAUGUAUAGGGUGUGACGCCUGCCCGGUGCUCGAAGGUUAAUUGAUGGGGUUAGCAUUAGCGAAGCUCUUGAUCGAAGCCCGAGUAAACGGCGGCCGUAACUAUAACGGUCCUAAGGUAGCGAAAUUCCUUGUCGGUUAAAUACCGACCUGCAUGAAUGGCGUAACGAGAUGGGAGCUGUCUCAAAGAGGGAUCCAGUGAAAUUGUAGUGGAGGUGAAAAUUCCUCCUACCCGCGGCAAGACGGAGAGACCCCGUGGACCUUUACUACAGCUUGACACUGCUAUUUGGAUAAGAAUGUGCAGGAUAGGUGGGAGGCUUUGAGUAUAUGACGCCAGUUGUAUAUGAGCCAUUGUUGAGAUACCACUCUUUCUUAUUUGGGUAGCUAACCAGCUUGAGUUAUCCUCAAGUGGGACAAUGUCUGGUGGGUAGUUUGACUGGGGCGGUCGCCUCCCAAAUAAUAACGGAGGCUUACAAAGGUUGGCUCAGAACGGUUGGAAAUCGUUCGUAGAGUAUAAAGGUAUAAGCCAGCUUAACUGCAAGACAUACAAGUCAAGCAGAGACGAAAGUCGGUCUUAGUGAUCCGGUGGUUCUGUGUGGAAGGGCCAUCGCUCAAAGGAUAAAAGGUACCCCGGGGAUAACAGGCUGAUCUCCCCCAAGAGCUCACAUCGACGGGGAGGUUUGGCACCUCGAUGUCGGCUCAUCGCAUCCUGGGGCUGGAGCAGGUCCCAAGGGUAUGGCUGUUCGCCAUUUAAAGCGGUACGCGAGCUGGGUUCAGAACGUCGUGAGACAGUUCGGUCCCUAUCUGCCGUGGGCGUAAGAAGAUUGAAGAGAUUUGACCCUAGUACGAGAGGACCGGGUUGAACAAACCACUGGUGUAGCUGUUGUUCUGCCAAGAGCAUCGCAGCGUAGCUAAGUUUGGAAAGGAUAAACGCUGAAAGCAUCUAAGCGUGAAGCCAACUCUAAGAUGAAUCUUCUCUAAGCUCUCUAGAAGACUACUAGUUUGAUAGGCUGGGUGUGUAAUGGAUGAAAGUCCUUUAGCUGACCAGUACUAAUAGAGCGUUUGGCUUAUCUUUAAUAAAGCAU